rnacentral:rRNA from 1 species
CCUACGGGAGGCAGCAGUGAGGAAUAUUGGUCAAUGGGCGCGAGCCUGAACCAGCCACGCCGCGUGAAGGAUGAAUGUCCUACGGGUUGUAAACUUCUUUUAUAAAGGAAUAAAGUGUGGCACGUGUGCCUGUUUGAGUGUCCUUUAUGAAUAAGGCUCGGCUAACUCCGUGACAGCAGCCGCGGUAAUACGGAGGAUCCGAGCGUUAUCCGGAUUUAUUGGGUUUAAAGGGAGCGUAGGUGGGUUGUUAAGUCAGUUGUGAAAGUUUGCGGCUCAACCGUAGAAUUGCAAUUGAUACUGGCAGUCUUGAGUACAGGUGAGGUAGGCGGAAUUCGUGGUGUAGCGGUGAAAUGCUUAGAUAUCACGAAGAACUCCGAUUGCGAAGGCAGCUUGCUAGACUGUCACUGACACUGAGGCACGAAAGUGUGGGGAUCAAACAGGAUUAGAUACCCCUGUAGUC